CUCCAGUUGAUCGCAUGGUCUUCUGGGAAAGCUUUCGCGGUAUGGGAUGGGGUCGCGUCCUAUCAGCUUGACGGCGGGGUAACGGCCCACCGUGGCUUCGACGGGUAGCCGGCCUGAGAGGGCGACCGGCCACAUUGGGACUGAGAUACGGCCCAGACUCCUACGGGAGGCAGCAGUGGGGAAUAUUGCACAAUGGGCGCAAGCCUGAUGCAGCGACGCCGCGUGAGGGAUGGAGGCCUUCGGGUUGUAAACCUCUUUUAUCGGGGAGCAAGCGAGAGUGAGUUUACCCGUUGAAUAAGCGCCGGCUAACUACGUGCCAGCAGCCGCGGUAAUACGUAGGGUGCAAGCGUUAUCCGGAAUUAUUGGGCGUAAAGGGCUCGUAGGCGGUUCGUCGCGUCCGGUGUGAAAGUCCAUCGCUUAACGGUGGAUCCGCGCCGGGUACGGGCGGG
rnacentral:rRNA from 1 species